rnacentral:rRNA from 1 species
UACGGAGGAUGCGAGCGUUAUCCGGAUUUAUUGGGUUUAAAGGGUGCGUAGGCGGACUGUCAAGUCAGCGGUAAAAUUGAGAGGCUCAACCUCUUCCCGCCGUUGAAACUGGUGGUCUUGAGUGGAUGAGAAGUACGCGGAAUGCGUGGCGUAGCGGUGAAAUGCAUAGAUAUCACGCAGAACUCCGAUUGCGAAGGCAGCGUACCGGCAUCCAACUGACGCUGAGGCACGAAAGCGUGGGGAUCAAACAGG